rnacentral:rRNA from 1 species
CCUACGGGCGGCAGCAGUGAGGAAUAUUGGUCAAUGGGCUUACGCCUGAACCAGCCAAGUCGCGUGAGGGAAGACUGCCCUAUGGGUUGUAAACCUCUUUUGUCAGGGAGCAACGCCGGCUACGUGUAGCCGGACUGAGAGUACCUGAAGAAAAAGCAUCGGUAAAUCCCGUGCCAGCAGCCGCGGUAAUACGGGGGUUGCGAGCGUUAUCCGGAUUUAUUGGGUUUAAAGGGUGAGUAGGCGGACUGUCAAGUCAGCGGUAAAAUCGCGGGGCUCAACCUCGCUCCGCCGUUGAAACUGGCGUUCUGGAGUGGGCGAGAAGUAUGCGGAAUGCGUGGUGUAGCGGUGAAAUGCAUAGAUAUCACGCAGAACUCCGAUUGCGAAGGCAGCAUACCGGCGCCCAACUGACGCUGAAGCACGAAAGCGUGGGUAUCGAACAGGAUUAGAUACCCUUGUAGUC